rnacentral:rRNA from 1 species
GUAGGGAAUCUUGCGCAAUGGGCGAAAGCCUGACGCAGCCAUGCCGCGUGAAUGAUGAAGGUCUUAGGAAUGUAAAAUUCUUUCACCGGGGACGAUAAUGACGGUACCCGGAGAAGAAGCCCCGGCUAACUUCGUGCCAGCAGCCGCGGUAAUACGAAGGGGGCUAGCGUUGCUCGGAAUUACUGGGCGUAAAGGGAGCGUAGGCGGAUAGUUUAGUCAGAGGUGAAAGCCCAGGGCUCAACCUUGGAAUUGCCUUUGAUACUGGCUAUCUUGAGUAUGGAAGAGGUAUGUGGAACUCCGAGUGUAGAGGUGAAAUUCGUAGAUAUUCGGAAGAACACCAGUGGCGAAGGCGACAUACUGGUCCAUUACUGACGCUGAGGCUCGAAAGCGUGGGGAGCAAACAGGAUUAGAUACCCUGGUAGUCC